AAAACCACCAGUGUUGAUUUUACAGAGUUCGCUACUCUAGAGUGGUCAGGUGUUAGUUGUAGUGUUCGUUUAUAAUUUAUCAUCACUCACAGUGUCAGAAACUUCCACAAGGGGGUGUUGCUUUCCAGUGUUCCAAUAAUAACGUUUGCGGGGAGUUAAGAUUCACGCCACGCCCCUUCUUUCUGAAGCGGGAAAGUCAGUUACUCAGCAUCGACCGACCUGGACUCACGUUACUGAGGUUUGGAACAUGCUGCUGAAGUUGGUUAUCAGGGCUCCAGGAAAUGUAUCAAACUGCAGGAUUGAUUUAUUUUUGCUCAUUAGUGAAGGUGGUAAGCUAAACUGACUGUGGACUAAUGUAUGCAUUGUUGAUGACACUGAAAUCGAGGAAGACAUUCUACAAGAUGUGCUGCUUACAGUUAGAGGACAAAAUGAAGAUGCAACAAGCAGCUUCUGCCACUGUCAUUUACCAUCUGAACUUGACCAAAGUCGUUUCAAGAAAUCUAAGACAACAGAUGACUCCAUGACCGAGGAAGACUCCUACAAGGGACCAGUGAGAGCAUAGACUGUGAUAGUGACAUGGCAACACUGCCUUUACUGCUCCAUCUCCUUCCACCAUCACCUCAACGGAAUCAGUGCAUCAGAUUUGCAGUGAGCAGGCUUGUGGUGUAUCAUAAGUCUUGUACCAGCCUUGAAGAACAUCUUCAGCAACGAGUAGGAUGACAACCGUACCUUACUGCGGUUAGCAGGAUCUGCGGCCAGAUUUGAGAACUUUGAUGUGGCUUUUGAUAAGAAUCUCACCCCAUCAGUCGGAAGGCUCCCUUUUAUUAGCAUUUGACUUUGUUUUUAAUGUAAUGUAUGAUGAUGGACUCCUUUACUUUAACUAAUUUAAUCAAACAACAGUUUACAUGUUGGGAAAACUAGAGAUUGAGAGCUGAGAGCAAACUUUUUUUAACUAGCUGUAACUAGUAUCUCAUUUACGGUUUCAGCAUGCAUUUUAUCCUUGCCCAAAUUUCUAAUUAAUAUGUGCUGAAGAAAAUUGUGAUUACUUUUGUGAUGUAUUGUUUUACAGAAUGUUUAGUGAAAGAUUUGCUGUGAUUUGCCCUAGAUGUGUGUCAGACAUGGAUUUUAAAACACUUUUCCAGUUUUGUUUAAACUCCUUGGCAAAAUUGAAAGGACUGUAUACAUAACCACUCUCUGAAAAUUUUGAAAAAGUUCACAAGUGAAACUUUAUUUUUUUAUAAAUAUUUAAUAAUGUCAAAUAAAUUUGUUAAAUAAAUUUGUGGUCAAUAA